AUGCUCUGGUUUCUCUUCAUAACGAAUAAAUAUUUUGCCUUUUACUAAAGAUUUCUAUGGAGAGAAACAAUUAUGAGUUUAUAACUGAAUUUUUUGAUGUCCUGCUUAGGUAGGGCU
ensembl:snRNA U5 U5 spliceosomal RNA